UAAAUACUUCGAUGCCUAAUAUAUUGCUCAGUUACAUAGUUCAGCGCAGCAACUCAUAAACAAGAAGGAAUACCACCAGAGAGAUUAUUUUGAGAAAGAUCAAUCAAGCUUAAACGAUCCAACUUGCAUAAUUGAAUUGGAAUUGCACCCUCAAAGUGGUUUCUCCUUAAGAGAAGAUAACUUAAUUCAUAAAGAUUGCUAACCCAAUUUGGAAUGUUACCCUUCAAGUGGUUGUAGCUGAGAUCCAAUGUCACCAACGAAGAGCUAUCAUGAAAAGCAUUUGGUAACGCUCCUUGUAGCUUAUUUUUAAAUAAAUGAACUUCCUUCACCGAUACCGGCUUGAAGCAAGAUGGUAGAGUCCCAGAUAAACUGUUCAUGGAAAGGUCCAAAAAUUGGAGUUUGAGAUUGAGACUACAAAUUGCCCUUGGUAUUGAACCUUCAAGUUGAUUAUCUGCCAUGGAAACUAGUGCCAAAUUCGAAGCAUUUCCCCUCCAUUGUGGCAACCUACCAAAGAGUUGGUUCCUGCUCACAUCCAAUGAUGCCAGCUCUGACAUAUUCCAAAUCCAACUUGGGACUUCACCAUAGAUAUAGUUGUUGCUAAGAUCUAGUAUAUUCAAGCCAGAGUAAGCUAAGACAUUUGGGAUCAUCCCAGUGAAGUUAUUUCCAUUUAAUUGGAGCUCCAACAAGCUCUUUAGAUUAAAAUUUCCUGAGAAAAUUGAUCCUUGUAAUUUGUUAUUUGAUAAUACAAGUACCUGUAAUGAAGAGCAGCCUAUAGCCAUGUGCUGAGGUAUCUCUCCAGAUAAUUGGUUGUUUGAUAAGUCCAAAACUUGUAGGGAACUCGUAUCACCAAAAGAAGAGGGAAUGCUGCCAUUGAAAUAAUUCCUUGACAUGUUCAAAUAACGCAAAAAUGGUAGGUGUGCGCCCAUUCUUACUGGGAUGUUGCCACCGAAGGCAUUGUUGGAGAUAUCCAAACGUGAUAAAGCAGAAUGCACACGCGAUGGCACUUGAAAAGGCCCUGAUAGAGAGCAAUUCACGAGAUUCAGGGUCAUUAGCAUCGUGUUGUUUUCCAACAACCAAACCGGAAAUCGAUCCACCUUGAAAUAUAUGUCUGAGAGAGAAACCUCCUGCAAUUCACUUUGAUGGUACAAGAAUUUUGGAAAUGGCCCACCACUUCCACAACAAGUUAAGCUGAUGGAACUCAAUUGGAACCUUGGAGCCGAAGAAUGCGACAUCUCAUGAUCAUCAGCAUGUAUGGUGUUGUUAUCUGCAUAGAGGUACUUGAGUUUUGAAAGGUUGAACAAGGGUCUUAAUGAGCUUGGGAUGUGAAAUUUAUUGUUUGAAACAUCCAACGAUUGGAGGGAUGUUAGACUUUCAAGGGCAGAUAUAUUUCCAGAGAAUUGAUUAGAAGAGAGGCCCAAAGAUUCAGAGAAUUGAUUAGAAGAGAGGCCCAAAGAUUCAAGCAAUGUUAGGCUCUGAAGGGCAGAUAUAUUUCCAAAAAACUGAUUAGAAGAGAGGUCCAAAGAUGCAAGCAAUGUUAGGCUCUGAAUGGCAGAUAUAUUUCCAGAGAACUGAUUAGAAGAGAGGUCCAAAGAUUCAAGCAAUGUUAGGCUCUGAAGGGCAGAUAUAUUUCCAGAUAACUGAUUAGAAGAGAGGUUCAAAGAUUCAAGCAAUUUUAGGCUCUUAAGGAUAGAUAUAUUUUCGGAAAACUGAUUGGAAGAGAGAGAUAACAUUUUAAGGGAGGUGAGGUUGGAGAAACACAUGGGUAAGCUACCCUUUAGAUUACAGUCUUGCAUGUUCAACUCUUGGAGAUUUGUCAAUUCACAGACAUCUGCAAAAGUAGUAGUAUAUAUGUAUAUAUUUAAGGAGUUUACAAAUAGGUACAAAUCUAAAUAAUAAAUAAAAUAUGUUGAAUUAAUUAGAAUAAUAAUCAAUUCAAUAUAAAAUAUUCAAGAGUGAAAAUUAGAAUAUAUUAUUUGGGAGAGAAUCUACACGUGAUGGGAUUCGAAUCUAGGCAUUCAAGAUGCUAAGCCUUAAUUCUUUGCCUUUAGUGUGUUUAACCAUUUUUCUUUGGUCCAUAAGGUUUGUAGAAUUUAAAGUUUUAGCCUUUCUAGUUGUGAAAUUAUAAAUUUAAAGACUAAUUGGUGUAUUGUUAAUAAAUUUCUAUUAAAUUAGAAUAUAUGCAUUUUAAUAUUCAAAAAAAUAGAAGUAGUUAAUUUUUUUUAUUUAUAUAUAAAAUCAAAAUUAUAAAGUAGAUUUGAAUAUCCUUCCUUUAUGGCUUUAUGUGAAUAAGUAAAGCAAAUUCACAUGUAUCUAUCCAUAUCCAUUUUGAAUCUGAAUAUUAUCUGAAUUUAUAGCAUUCGAAUAUAAAAGAAGCAUGUCAAAUUUAUAGAUAUAUGAAUCUAUAAUCCGAAUUACCACAUCUAAGAGAAAUUAUAUUUCAAAAUUCAAAAAGCAGCACAUUUAUAUAUAUUAAAUCUAGAAAUAUAUAAAAACUAAAAUGAUGAGUAACUGAAAAUAGAAUAUUUACCAUGCAUAGGUGGACUGUUGUUACCAUCAAUACCAAAGGCGGUCAAUUUUUUAAGAGAAAUGAGUGGUCCAAAAACUUGAAUAAAGUUUGAAGGUAAAGAUGAAUGAGACAACUCCAACUCUUCCAAACUUCUUAAAUUUAGGCCUUCUGUUCAAUAACAUUAACUGCAAGUUAUAUUUUGAAAAAAAUUAUGAGAAACAAUGUAUAUUUAUAAAACUACGAAGAAAAUAAGGAUUUGAAAUUAUGAGUUUCAUCCUGUUCUUUUAUUUUACAUAAAUUGAGAUGUUAGCUUUUUCUAUUUUAAUUUGUCAAAAUUUGGUUAAUGUAGUUUGUGUAAAUUAAGAAGCUAGUCUAGUUAUUGGUAAUAAUAUAUAUUCUCAUCUUUACAUCCUUUUAUAAUUGUUUUUUGAAAAGAGAUCCUGCAGAAUGCAUUAGUUUGACGGAAAAUUACAACGUUAAAAAACAAUUUCCUAAAAAGCCUUAAACGGCACCUUAGCAUCCUUUCAUAAAUUAAAACUACUAAAUUAAUUAAUCAAAUUUUAUUCUUAAAUCUAGAAAAUGGAUUUAAAACAAAAAUUUGACAUUGAAAGUGUAUAUUAUCAAGUAUAUAUAGUUAAGGACAAUUUGAAAUAAAAAAUGACUUAAAAUCAAAUAAAUAUUAUCAUAAGAGGGAAAUUGAAAGAAUGAAAUUACCUUGUCGAGUGAGGUUUUUGUUGACGUUACAGUACAACAACUUUAAACGCUUCAAAGAAGUAAAGUCUGCUGUAACAGAGGCUUUCAAUAUCAAAUAUGUGUGAGAGAGGGAAAGGCAAAGAUAUUAGUGAAAUAUCCCAACAAAAAUAAAUUAGUCUCUCUACGCUCUACUCUUAAUCUCGGAAAUUUAAUCUCUCUAUUCAUUUGAUUUAAUAAUUGAAAUCCAACUGAUAACAUUAUCAAAGGAUUUUCGUUAAAUUGAAUUACAUGGCUUUUUUAAUAUGAAAUAUUUACUCACGUGGCUAACUGUAUUUUGCAGAUUAUAACAUUGUUUGCAAAUGCUUAAAAUGUGUAAUAAUUUGAUCGAACAAAAAAAAAGUUUACAUGACUGGAAGGCCAAAUAAACAAAAAUAAAUGUUGAAUCUAGUAUCGUAAGAUUUUCGAUUUCGAAAAUGAGAAGAGUAUAAGGACUGCAUGCAUAAUUAGACCUACAUGUAUAAAUUAAGUUUGUAAGAAAACAUCAAAACUUACUAUUGCGGGAAUAAGAAGCCAUUGAGGUUUCAUUAAUAUUAAAUCCUCCUAAAGAAAGAGUGUUCAAAGUGGGGAAGAAGCCCAAUGAUUGUAAUGAGAAGCUACAACCUGCAUCUGCAUCUGCCUCUGUAUAUGCAUCUGCAUGUCAAACAAUGCUUUAUUUCAUUAGAAAAUGUGUAAUUAACAAGUCAGGGCAAAUAAAACAAAUCUUUAUUUCUGUUUCCUCUUCUUCAUAUCUAUAAAUUUUAUAGUUUACCUCCCCAAAGUAGAGUUUAACAUUACCUGUAAAGCAGGCCAUAUUUCUUUUUUCUUUUGACUUUAAUAGUAAGAUGACUUUUAAAUGAUUUCUUUUUCUUUUUUUUUUCUCUCAAAAUUUUAAUUUUUGCAUUACCUAUAUAGCUGGCCAUAGUCAGCUCUUCCAAAUUGCCAAAACCAUAUAAAUCUGAGGAGAAUCAGAAAUUGGAAAAUAGUUUAGUUCAAAUAAAGCUUAUGAAUUUAUAUAUCUCAUUCAAUAAUUCUUUUCUUUUCCUAAGAAAAAAAAACAGAGGAUGGAGAGAAGGGUGAUUUUUACCUUUCAUAUCGAUUAAUCCAUUGCAUUGAGAGAUAUCUAUCCUCAAUGUCUUUAGAUUCGGAAGUGUAGCAAGAGAUGGCAAUAUACUAUUUUUGAAACCAUUAACACUCAAAUUAAGAUGUUUCAAAUUCAUCAGCCUUAGUCCUGCACCAUUAUCAAGUAACAACAUUUAUAGUUAUUUUAUUCCUUAAAAUAUUUAUUUUUUAAAAAUUUGACACGUGCCUUUUUUUUAAAUACUUUAUUAUAUCUCUAUAGGACACUUGUCAACCCAACGACUUUACUUAUGGAGUCUAAAAUCUCCACCAGUAAUAUACUAAAUAUUUUCCCUAAGUUUAUAAUAAAUUUAACAAUAACAAAAUUUUAAAAAAAUAAAUUUAAUGUUAAAUUGAAAAUUAAAAAAAAUCAUAAAUACCUUGAGAUGGAAUCAAAAUUAUCGGAUAAGAUCAACUCCUCUAAAUUGCUGAGAGCAUUUAAAUCUGAAGAUAACGUUAAAAAGGAAACUAAAAAUAACUUUAUUUUGCUUAGUAUAUUAAUUUAAAUAUUUAAAGCAUUCAUAAUGGGAACUAUUCAUUAAGCCUACUACAUUAUUUGAGUUUCAUUACUAUUAAAUCCUCCUAAAGAAAGAGUGUUCAAAGUGGGGAGUAAGCCCAAUGAUUGUAAUGAAAGGCUUUAGAUUUGAAAGUGUAGCAAGAGAUGACAAUAUAUUACUAUUGAAACCAUUAAUACUCAAAUCAAGAUGUUUCAAAUUCAUCAGCCUUAGUCCUGCACCUUUAUCAAGUAACAACAUUUUUACUUAUUUUAUUUCAUAUAAUAUUUACUUUUUAAAAAUUUGACACGUGUCUCUUUUUAAAAUAUUUUCUUAUAUCUCUAUAAGACACUUGUCAACCCAAUGACUUUAAUUAUGGAGUUUAAAAUCUCCACCAGUAAUAUAUCAAAUAUUAUUUCCUAAGUUUAUAAUAAAUUUAAUAAUAACAAAAUUUUCGACUAAGUUUUGGCCUAACUUGAAUGGGUUUAUUCAGUUCAACUUAUGAAAUUUCUAUUAUCAAUGGUAAAUAUUAAGUUAAGUGUUCAAAUAGAGAUGAAACUUUUUAUGAGUUGCACAUGAAUUAAAACUUUAAACAUAAUUAAGUAAAAGGUAAGUCUACCUCAUAUAAGAGAGAAACCUUACACAAUGACCAAAUAAGAGUUGAACCUUUUCAAUUGUGCUCAAAUAAGAAUUUUUCAAAUACCAUAUAAUAUAUUUGAAAUUAUGUUUUUUUUUUUAACUUUUCAAAUAAUAUCUUAUUAAACCGUGUGUGUUUUAUUCUAAACACGUUAGCAUUCAUCUAAUUUUUACUUUCAAAAGGGCAUAACUUUUUUUUACCGUUUUGAAAGGUAGGUGCUUGCAUAUAAAUAUUAACAAUUUAUUUAACAUAUGUCUAGUUAAUUGGAAAAUGGAUGAAAAGCAUUUAAUUGUGAAAGGAAAAUUACAAAUAAAACUAAUAACAAAUCAUAUAAAAUCAAAAGAUAUCAUAUUCUUACCUUUUGUAUAAAUUGCCCCCUCCAAUUGGUUAUCAGAUAAAUCUAAUGACUUCAAAUUUGAGAACUCAACAAGGGAUGAGAAUAGGCUAUUGUUCAAGAGAUUACCAUUUAAACUAAGUACCUCAAGUUUGUUGAACUUCAUUCCUUCUUUUUCUGAAAAGAAAAAAAAGUUAAUGUAAUUUCAUCUUAAAAAAAGAUAAUAUGUUGGAACAACAAUUAAUUAAGCAAGUGAUUUACCAUGGAAUAGUGACCCAAGGCUCUCAAUUUCAUUUCCCUCUAAAUACAGCUCCUUCAAGUUCAUCCAAUUAUUAUUGCUUUCUGUUCAUAUCCAAUGAAAAUAUAUGUUAGUUAAUCAAGUUAUUUAGAAAGAGAUAAUAUAACAUUUAGUCCCUAAAUUUUGUAAUUUUCUCCAACUUGGUCCUUGACCUGUUUUUUGUCCACAUUAGUCUUGGAAUUUAACAUCUUUCCAUAGCUUUGGCCAAUGAGAUGAUGUGGCACUAUGAGAUUGUGUCACGUCAUCACCUAAAUUCUUGAAAAAUUGCUAAAUUCCAGGACUAAUGUCGACCAAAAAAGUUUAUAGACUAAGUUAGAAAAAAUUACUAAAUUCAAGGACUAAAUCUUGCUUUACCCUUAUAAAAACAACUAACUAAUAAACUUUCUAUUUUUUUUAAUCAAAUUAAGCAUGAUAUUCAAAAAAGAAACAUGCCUUGUAUAUCAAGGGUUCCUUUUAGUCCGCAAUACUCAAUACACACUGGUGUCAUAGUGGCAAAACCAUCUAUAUUUCCAAAACUGUUGUAAGAUAAAUCCAAAGUUUCCAAAUUAUUCAACUUUGAUAACAUCUCAAUACCUGCCAACAAUAAUAUUAAAAAAAAAAAAAGGAGAAAACUAUUUUAAACUUGGAUAAGCUUUGCAUCAUAUACAAUUUAAUACUUUUACCAUUGGUAGGAUUUGAUCUUGUGAAUACAUUGUAAGCUAGAUUUAAAGACUUAAGCGAGGAAAGUUCACUUAAGGAUGCUAAAAUGCUAUUGUUGAAAUGAUUGUCACUCAAGUCAAGAUUCUCCAACUUAUCCAAUUUCGAUGACAACCUUUCAAAACCUACAAGGAAUAAGGAAAUAUAGUAAAUUAGCAAUGUCGGGGGACAGGGUCUUAGCUCCAAAAAAUAUGGUAAAUUUUCAGUUUAGUCCUUACCAAAACUGUAAAUUGAUGCAAUAAUACAAUUUCAUUUCAACAAUGAACAAGUAGUUGAAAUGAUUUUUUUGACAUACAAAAUAAUAAAAAGAAAUAAAUAUUUGUAAUAAAGUUGAAAGGUAAUAAACCCUGAUUGGCAACACAGCCGGUUAUGAAAUUCCCACUUAAAAGAAAGAUUCUGUAAUUUCUCAAAAGGAAGAAACAAAGAGGCAUUAAGAUACCAAUCUCUCUUCAUGUUGCUGGAAUAAUUAAGGAAAAGAUGGGUGACUCGUCCACUUAUUGGGUUGCAUUCAACCCUUUCCCACUCACAACAAUUUGAUGAACUCUCUUUUUCCGGUUUUGACUCAUAGUCUAGAUCUUGAAACUUAUAAUCAAUGAACGCAAAGAAAGGUUUGAGCUGGAAUAGAGCAAAUCUUUCCUCCUCUAAGCACCCAUCACACAGCCCAGAACCUAACGAUAACACUACAAGAACCAUGGCUAACCAUUUCGACUCCAUCUCAGCAGUACUUUAUGCAUUUGUAGCCAAUGCUGCAACCCCUUGUGCUUUAUAUGCUACAACUGAAAGGAAGAAUCCCCUCAUGCUUCCAAGAAAUUCAUUCAUAAGGGUCCACUUAUCACUUAAAUGGUAUACUUUUUUGUUUUUCAACUUCAUUAUUAAUUAUUUUUCAUGGAACCUCUUAUUUCUCUCCUCUAUUAAUUUGGAUGUGAUAAAAUAUUGAUAAACUAAUAUCAAAUAUUCUCUAUAUACUUCGGGGUUUAAAUAUGUUCCUAUCAAAUUUGAAUUGAUAAUUAAUGCUGAACUUUAAGAUAAUAGAAAGACUUCAUUGAUACAAUACUCAACAUAAUUAUAAAAUUUAUAAAUAAAAUUUUUUAAAAUGAUUUAUGUUGGAUAUUGUUUAUGAUGCCUGUUUAUUGUAACUUCCUUAUGAAGGUGGAAAAUGUAGAUUUUUGUUUCGAUAGUUUGAAUUAUUAUUGAGAAGACCUUGACUUAGAUGAUAGCAUAGUAAGGACAUGUUUGAUUGUGAAAUUGUAAUGCAAAACCACAGGUAGAAGGCAUUUAUAACCAUUGAUUUCAGACAAACCAACAUCGUAAAGAAUGUGUGGUUGUAUGUCCGGUGAAUUGGUUGAAGAGUGAUGUGGGUACCAUUUGCAUUCCAUGUAUAAGAGGGAAAAUUCAAAGUAAACGCUGGAUUCUCACGAUUAUGGAGCCCCCCAAAUUGACAAUGAUGAUUGUUUAAAUUACAAACGUCCAAACUAAGUUAAGCUUCUGGGGUCUCUGCAUUUCAUUUUUCCGGAAUUAUAAUUUAUAUUAUUUAAUUCAUAUUAAAAAAUUAUGAUUUAAUUCUUAUUUAAAAUUUAUUAAAUAAUAAUUAAUUUUUAUCAUAUAAUUAUAAAUUAAAUUCUAUAAAAGGUAAUUAUUUGAUACACCCGUCUGUGUAAUUUUUUAGAUUCCAUAAGUGGGUUGAGUGUGUGGCAAGUGUUACAUUUUUUUUAUAUAAUUAGUUUUUUUAAUUUCUACCAUACCCUAUAAUACACUUGUCAAACCUUUAAUCCAUUUGUGGACUUAUUUAAACUUUUUAUUUUUUAUUGUACCAAAUAUAUUAUAUUUUGUUAGACAUAAAAAUUAAAUUUAAUAUCUUAAAUGGACUCCUAAGUUAUUUUAUUGAUGAAAUAUUUUUAAAAAAAUUAUUUAAAAGAUUUACAUUUCUCCAAGCUAUUUCCCAAUUCGUGGCUUAAAUGAUUUACAUUUCUCCAAGCUUUAUUAUUUACAUGUGAUUUUACGUGUUUAAUAUUUAACUAUUUUUAAAUAUUGUACUUUCAACCACAAUAAUUAAUAUAAAGUAAUUUUUUUUAUUUGAAUUAUUAGAUAUAAUUAAAAUAUAUUAAAUUAUGAAUUCAAAUAUUUUAAUAGAAUUUUUUGAGUCAAUUUUAAUAGAAAUUUUUAAAAAAACAAUUAACACAUUUUUAACGUAUAAAAUAUUACUUUAUUUAAUUAAUGUAAAAUAAUAUUAUUCAAGAUAAUAACUAAUUACAUAAUUACCUCUAAUAUUAAUUAAGUGUGAUUAAUAUGCAUAAAAUUUUAUUCAAGUAAUAAGUAUAUUUUAUAAUCAUCACAAUUGUUAACUAAGAAUUGCAAUCUAAAUUCUUAGUAGUUCUAAAUAUGUAAUACAUAAAUAAAAAACCUUUUUAAAAAUAUACUAAUAUUUAACCUUGAAUUUCAUAUAUUUGAAAUGUUUGGAUACUAUAUUUUUUAAAUUUCGUGUGGAAAUUUUGACUUUUGCUUCAAUAGAUAGAAUUAUUAUUGAAGAGAUCUUUACUUAAGUGAUGGCUUGUUGAAUUAUAAAAUGGGUUUAUUACUAAGUGAAUUUACUAAAUAUUUGUUCAGACUCUUCAUUUCCUUUUUAAAGUACGCGUUUACGAUAUUCAUAUCAGCCGCAUAUUCAGACAUAAAUACAGAAAUAUAAUGUUACAAAUAAGUGAAAAAAUUUUUAAAAUAAUUAAAUACCGAAUAAAUACCCAUAUUGAGAAAGUUGUACUUGAGAGUAACAAUUUUGACAAAUAAGAAGUUGAGUGGUUCAAUUUAUCACAAUUUCACAUUAUAUUUUUGUCUAUUAAAUAAUCAUAACAAACAUAAUUCACUUUCAAAAAUUAGGUAAAUUGCAAAAGCAACAAAGUUAACUUAAAGGCUAAAUAUGUCAUAGGUUCUUAUACUUUUCAUAAUUUCAAAUUUUAGUUCCUUCUAUUUUUAUAUUUCAAAAUUUAGGUCAAAUUGUUAACACUGUUAAAAUUUUUUAAUUAAAUUUAUUGAUGUAACAUUUUGAAAUAAAAAAAAUAUUCAUUUAAUAACAAUGUAACUAAAAAAAUAAUAUAAUGAAUCUGAAUUUAUUUUAAUGUAAUAUAACUAAAAAAAAAUCACUUGAUGCUUGAAUGGCAGAAUAGAAAUGGGAGCAAGAAAUGUUUGAUGGCAACAAAAGGUAUGGCAAGAUAGUACUUUAGGUUUUGUAAAAUAUAGGUUUUAGAGUUAGUUUGGCAAAUCUAAAUCUUGACGAUGAAGAGGAGGAGUUGAUUCUUUGUGAAAAAGAUCUGAAUGAUUUAGAAGAUGACUAUUGAUUUUGUUUGGUAGAAAAAGCUGUAACGGAGUGUGUGGUUCACUUUCCCUCUCUAAUGUUAAACGCUAUUAAUGAUGGUUUUUUAUGAAGUUUUGUUUGAAGGUCGUGGAAAUUUAAAUUUUUGUUUUGAUAGAUUGAAUAAUUAUUGAGGGCUUAGGAGAUGGUUUGUCUACAUGAUAGUGUAGUUUUUUUUUAAACAUUGCAAUUUACCUCUUCCAUCCAAGUUAACAACAGAUCAAAAGAAAAAAACUUUAUCCGUAAUCUAAAAAAGCAGAUCAAAUCUAUGGAUAUCUGAAUCCAUAAUCUAAAGUACCACAUCUAAGGGAAACUAAAUUUAAAAAUUCAAAAAACUUUUUUCAACAAUUAAUCUAUACUAUAAUUUUACUAUAGUUGUUGUACUUUGUGGGUUUGUAGAUCUUAGUUCAAUAGUUAUUUGUGAACUGCUGGAAAUUGUGGAAAGCUGUAGGCGACUUAAGGUAUUCCAAAGGCAAUUCAACAUUUCAUCAUUGCAGUAAUUUUCACAUAGGUUGAAAUCAAGAAACUCAUUUACAUUCCCAACAUUCCCAUUUGCAAUGGGGCUUUAACUUAUUUGCAUAUUUGAUGUUGACUUCAUUAAACAUUGAACAUUGAUCCCAUUCCACAUAUAAGAAAAUGAUACAAGAGAAGAGGGAAACUUCCAAGUCAAGCUUUGUUUAUAUUACAAACGUAUAACCCAAGUUUAAAACAACUAAAUAUAUUAAUAUUUAUGUUGGUAACUUUCCUAUGAACUUUUGUUUGAAGGUGAAAAUAUGAACUUUUGUUCCAAUAGGUAGAAUUAUUAUUGAAGUGAUGGCCACGAAUUGGAUCCAUUACUAAAUAAAUUUCAAUAAAUAAAUUUUAUACCCUUACUAUUAUUUAUCUAUGUAUUUUUCAUUUACUUUAUUUAUAAGAUUAAAUAUAUUUGGCUUCUUUCAACAAAAAUCAUGUUUAACUUUGAACCCCAUGAAGGUCAGGGGUAUUCACUGCCUCAAGUGUGGCCUGAAUUUGAGUCCUAUUAGUCGUGUUGAUUGUUUGGGCUUUACCUUAUUAUUGUAAUUCAUAAAAAAAAAAAAUUUUAACUUCAAAAUAUUUUAAAAUUAUAUUUAAGUUAGUUAUAUAUUGAUGUUGACAUGAAUUUAUUAAAUUAUUUUAUAUAAAAUUAAUUAGUUACCAUUAUUUAAAAGAUUAUAAUUGAAAAAAAUGAUUAAAAUAUAAAUUUGAAAAAAAUUAUUAAUCCCCUUGUGCUUCCAAGAAACUCAUUCCACAAAGGGUCCAUUCAUCCCAUAAAUGGAUUACCCUUUUUUCCACAAAGGGUCCAUGGAAAAGCCUCUUUUUCAAGUCUUCCAUUAAUUUGGAUGUGAUAGAAUACUAACAUUUACAUGACUGGUAAUCACCCACCGCUUACGCCGGGGUUUAAUGAAACAAUUUUUAUUAUUUAUUAUUUAUUUAAUAUUAAAUUUUGUUUAAAAUUUAUUAAAUAACAAUUAAUUAAUUAAAACUGAUUAAAUAUUAAUUAAUUAUUUAAACUCUUUUUUUAAUAUGUUAUGUUUUUGUUAAUUAUAAAAUUUGAAUCUAUGAAAAUAUAUGAGAACCUUAAAUUUAUUCGCAAGUUAUUUUAUGGAUAAUUCAUUUUAAAUUAAUUUUAAAAGUGAAUAUUCAAAUCAAUCCUUGUGUCGGUCAAUAAUGUUGAGUAUGAGUUGGGUGAUUUACCCAGGCCAAGCAGGAUUUAUUGACCUCAAAUCAAUAUGAAAUCAAAUUAAAUAAUAAAAAACUUAAUUUAAUUAUAAAAAAUAUUAAUAUUAUAUAAAAAUAAUAUGUGAAGCAUAAAAUCAGAUUAUGAAAUUAGGUGAAGCUGGCCCAACUUCACGAUUAGACAUGCAAACUUUGUGCUUUCUACGCUACAAGAAAUAGGAAAAACCCCUCAUGCUUAAAUGGUUUACUUUUUGUGCUUUAUAUACUGCUAGUCAAAUAAAAUGGGAACAAACGUUGAAGAAUGAGAAAAAUGGGCGACUCCAGAGUCCAGAGGCAUGGCCAUCAACUCAUGCUGCUUGAAUGGCAGAAUAGAAAUGGGAGCAACAAAUGUUUGGGUUUUAUUUAUUAAGGUUUUGGACUUUGAGUUUGAUCAUGCUUGGGUUUGACUAAACAACUAUGUGACUAUAUGACUAAACAACUCAAGCCUUCUCAGAAAUAUUCCUCAUGUUUCACCCCGUCUAUGGAUUUGAAUAAGUUGAAGCGAUCUAGUGAUCGAAGAAAAAUGCAAUCUCAAAAUCAUGACGUUAUAAGUUCAGAAACUUAUGUUUGGAGAGUCUAGAGAAAUUAAAUUGAAACGACUUGUAUGACAUACAUUAGUUCCCUCUUUAAUUGUUGGAACUAUCUUCCCUGUAAUGAGUUCUGUUAAUUUGUCUUUUGCUGCUUUCUCUUGAAUGCAGGCUAACUCUUUUGGAUUUUCACAUUCCUAGCUCGUAGCAUUAACUGAUUCGGAUUAGGGAUUUUUCUGAAACCUUCUCUGCCUUCAGGUCAAACAGAAACUUAGUCCUGCAGCAUACAAAGAUUUUGUGGGUUAUACGAAGGAAAUAGUCCAAAGUGGUAAAAGAUUGGUAAUCCUCUGCAAUGCAUUGUGGAGUUAUUUUCAGGACCUGAGAGGCUUCCUCUUCUUGAAAGGUAUGCAUCUACUCCAAAAUAGUAUUAAAUUUGAAGACUGUGAGCAGUUACGUUACAUUGUCAGUAAGGCAUUGUGAAAAAUAAUUUAGUUGGCUUAACCAUGUAUACAUUGAGCAGACACUUUCUGAUACUCAUCCAGUUAAUGCCAUAUUGUGCGGUUUUAGGUUUCAUUGGAAGCUUGGCAAAAUUAAUUUCCUAUUCUCAGCAUGAGUUAAUGAUUUAUAAAGCUAAGCCCAACAUUGUCUGAAAUCAUCAAAUAUGUUAGAGCCUUAAAGGCUGCAAGUGCCAUCAGAGGUCUUAUCUGCAACACUAGCAAAGAAACUGUUGAAGGUUGGUCAGCAUGUAGCAAAGAAGCCGACAACAAGCUGGCCAUGAAGAUAGAGCCAUGCAGAAGCUGCUGCAGCAAGCAAAACUGUUCCUAUUUUGUUUAUUUUGUAAUCUUAAGUUGAUGUAAUGCUUUUUAGUUCAUUUUGAACUAUGUUAGGUUAGUGAUUGAUGUAAUUUGUUGAUGAAUGAGCUGUUAACUCAGCUUUGUUUAUGUGUGCAAGCUUGUUUUUACAAGUUUCAAUGUAUUAGUGGUAGUAGGUAGCAAUUAGGUGACCACAUACUGAUUUUGACAAGCAAAUUGCUUGGUUUAUGUAUUGGCAUUAUGCCCUUGUUCAAAGUAGAAUGAAAUCAGUUUGUUUUCUUCCACAUACUCUCCAUUUUCUUUGUUUUUCUUCUUUCUUUUGUUUCAAAUUCGAUUGUUUCUUCUGCAAGUAUCGAGCCUUGUUGCUAAAGCCAUAAGCUGAACUUGUUUGCUCUUUGUUUCUAACACCAACAGAAACAAAUUGCCACUAUUCUUUAGCCUGUCAUUCAUUUCCAUCCCCCUUUUUAGCUUGCAACUAUUAUCCAUUAUUUUUACUGGAUCUUACCCUCUGUGUCAUCUGUUACAGAUUCAAGGGUUACGUGCCUGCGAGAUAUCAUUCUUUGUAUGAGCACUACCUCGAAACAAGUAAAAGAAAUGCCUGAAAAUCAGAGGAACUAAACUUAUCUGGUCAAAACAGUAAUUAUACGCUGCCGCUUGCCAAUGUGAUCGGUUAGAAGUGAAAGAUUGAGACUUUGGCAGCAUUGUACUUUCUAAUUCUAGAUCAACAAUCUUUGAAGAAAUAUUAUACAAACAUUAUGGAAGGUUUGUACGUAGUAUACUGCAACUUGGCACAGCAUUUGGAAGCUUUUGGAUGUGUAACCAGGACAGCUAAGUUGCUCAUUUGUGUGUGGAGGAAAGAAACUUAUUCAACACGAAGGUGGUGUUACACAUAGAAAACAAUAUUUCCAUAAUUAUUUGUUGCUACUACUGAGAUUAUGAAGGACUAGACCUAGUGACAGCUAACAUUUUGUACAAAUUGAAAUCAAACCAACUAAAAUAGCAGUGAAACUAAGAUAUGGCUUGUGGGAGUUUUUAUUUAGUUCCAAAAGAGCACUUUAAAUCCAGUCUUAACACAGUUGCUACAUAUAAACAUCGCAUUGCAAUCGACAAAUUUCACAACAAAAUUUUCUACAUGUUUCCACUACAAAAAUUUAUGGGGAAAUUAUCUACCACAAAAUAGUAGCAAGAAUCGACGGCCAUUUGCAUAUAGUAAAACCAUGUUUGCCUCCAAUAAGGAUUUAUGUACAGCACAGCUGCGAUACACAAUAGCACCAUCACGUAACAUGCAAAGAAGCUUGCAUAGAAGGCAUCCAUAUCAAUGAAACCAUGGUCUUCUUUGAUGCCAGAUGAAGCCUUCGGCGUCAGUGGUGUUGUGACCAUUGAACAAUUUUUUCCCACCAAUGAGCCACAAAGGAAAGGAUUCCCAAUAUAGUUGCUUUCAUCAAAUGCUCCCAAUUGUCCAAUCCUUUCAGGUGUCUUUCCAGAUAAAUUGUUAUAUGACACAUUGAAGUAUUCCAGAAAAUGUAACACCGCAAAUUCGGCAGGGAUAUUCCCUGUUAAAUUGUUGUAGGAAAGAUCUAGACUUUCUAUGUCCAUGAGGUUAGAAAAUGCUCGUGGCACUGCUCCGGUCAAGCUAUUAUGAGAAAGGUUCAAUGUGAAGAGUUUCAUAAUGUUUUUUGUUUCAAAACUAAUUUCACCGGUAAGCUUGUUGCAGGAGAGAUCAAUUCCAGACAUGUAUUGCAACAUUCUUUUCUUAUAAUUGUAGGAUCUGCUCUUUACUGUGUAUUCUACUGGAACUUCAAUGGACCUCGGACUUUUCUUACUGGAAUAAAUAAUAUAAUGCGGAAUAUAUUGCUCAGUUACAUAGUUCAGCGCAGAAAUUUUUAAACAAGAAGGAAUAUCACCAGAGGGACCGUUUUGAGAAAGAUCAAUCAAGCUUAAACGAUCCAACUUGCAUAAUUGAAUUGGAAUUUCACCCUCAAAGUGGUUUCUCUUUAAGAGAAGAUAACUUAAUUUAGAAAGAUUGCUAACCCAAUUAGGAAUGUUACCCUUCAAGUGGUUGUAGCUGAGAUCCAAUGUCACCAACGAAGAGCUAUCAUGAAAAGCAUUUGGUAACGCUCCUUGUAGCUUAUUUUUAAAUAAAUGAACUUCCUUCACGGAUACCGGUUUGAAGCAAGAUGGUAGAGUCCCAGAUAAACUGUUCAUGGAAAGGUCCAAAAGUUGAAGUUUGAGAUUGAGACUACAAAUUGCCCUUGGUAUUGAACCUUCAAGUUGAUUAUCUGCCAUGGCAACUUGUUCCAAAUUCGAAGCAGAUCCCCUCCAUUGUGGCAACCUACCAAAGAGUUGGUUCCUGC
rnacentral:lncRNA from 1 species